rnacentral:rRNA from 1 species
UACGUAGGGAGCAAGCGUUGUCCGGAAUCAUUGGGCGUAAAGGGUGCGUAGGUGGCGCUGUAAGUCGGGUGUGAAAUCCUGAGGCUUAACCUCGGAACUGCAUUCGAUACUGCGGCGCUUGAGGACUGGAGAGGAGACUGGAAUUCAUGGUGUAGCAGUGAAAUGCGUAGAGAUCAUGAGGAAGACCAGUGGCGAAGGCGGGUCUCUGGACAGUUCCUGACACUGAGGCACGAAGGCCAGGGGAGCAAACGGG